GUUACUGAAGAUUUCCAGAACAUCCUAAAGGUUUGUGUUUCAUAGGGUGACUGUGGAGGUCGUCUGAUCGCAGUGAAUUCAUAAUGUUAAAGAAAAGGUUUGAAAUCAGUGGUGUGUUAUCUAGCUGGAAGCAGCCAUCAGCAGAUGUGGUCUGAAAGAGACGGACAAGAUCAGCAAGAACACUGAGCGAGGUAACAUCCAGUCAAAGACACCGCCUGUCGAUGCUCAGCUCUUUUAUUUUUCUAAAAGAGGAAACAACACAAAGCAGCGAGGUUAAAGAGGUCAAAGAGCAAGGAGAGAGGUCAGCCAACUAUCGGAGUUGCAGAAAGGUGCGACAAAGAAGGUGCCUAAGAAGUACAGCAAGCUGUCCAUACCUGAGGCCUUGGAAACUGCCAAGCAACGACUCACAGCCUUGGCCAGCCGCUUGAAGAGGUACACCAGAGAGAUCGAAGGCAGGAGAAUAAACCAGCUGUUCUCCACAGAACCAGCCAAGGUGUACUCUCAGUGGCAGGGGAACAACAUGAGAACAGCACCACCAAGGCUGGAGAUUGAGCAAUACUGGAAGAAGGACACAGCCCAUAACUGCAACGCUCGGUGGCUAGUGGAUCUGAGAGGAGACCACAGCAACCUCCCUGAACAGGGUCCAGUAACCAUCACAGUGGCAGAUAUCCAAGAAAGGGUCUCCAGUAUGAAGAGUUGGACAGCACCAGGCCCUGACAUGGUUCAUGCCUACUGGCUGAAGAAGCUGACUGCACUCCACGAGCGCCUGGCAGCACAAAUGAAUUGGCUGCUAGCUGCCGAGAGACAACCAGAAUGGCUAACCGAAGACUGGACAGUCCUGGUUCUCAAGGACUCCCAGAAGGGACCGGUCCCCUCCAACUACCAACCAAUAACCUGCCUCAGCACCACGUGGAAGCUCCUGUCAGGCAUCAUAGCGGCAAAGAUGAAGAGGCACAUGGGUCAAUACAUUACUGCACAGAAAGGACCAAGCAGUCAGCAAGACUAGGCUGACCAACCAGUGCACUGCCUGGAUUGAUUACAAGAAGGCCGAUGACUCAAUGCCCCGCACCUGGAUCCUGGAAUGAUCAACAGGACCCUAAAAGCCUUCAUCAGGAACUCAAUGGGGAUGUGGCGUACAACACUAGAGGCCAACUUCAAGCCCACAGCACAAGUCACCAUCAAGUGCGGGAUCUACCAAGGAGAUGCUCUGUCCCCACUGUCUCCCCCCAAAAAUUAUUUAUUUUUAUUGGAUUGCCUUAUUCUGUCUGAGUCAAUGUUUUAUUUUAUUGUGAGUGGGAGCAGCUGGUAACAAUUAUUAAUUAAUUUCAUUCAGGAUUAAUAAUUAAUAAAAUGUUUUCUGAAACUAAAUUUAAAAAAGAGG
ensembl:lncRNA